rnacentral:sRNA from 12 species
CCCUGACAGUUACAUACUGUAGCUGACUAACCCAGACAGGAGAUUGACAUG